rnacentral:rRNA from 1 species
UACAGAGGUGGCAAGCGUUGUUCGGAAUUACUGGGCGUAAAGCGUGCGUAGGUGGUUUGUUAAGUCUGCUGUGAAAGCCCUGGGCUCAACCUGGGAAUGGCGGUGGAUACUGACAAGCUAGAGUGCGGUAGAGGAGGGUGGAAUUCCCGGUGUAGCGGUGAAAUGCGCAGAUAUCGGGAGGAACACCGGUGGCGAAGGCGGUUCUCUGGGCCUGUACUGACGCUGAGGAGCGAAAGCGUGGGGAGCGAACAGG